rnacentral:rRNA from 1 species
UAGCAGGCGGGCAGUUUAACUGGGGCGGUUGCCUCCUAAAGAGUAACGGAGGCGUUCCAAGGUUCUCUCAAGGCGUAUAGAAAUCGCCUGUCGAGUGCAAGAGCAGAAGAGAGCUUAACUGCGAGGCCGACAAGCCAAGCAGAUCGGAAACGAGGAUCUAGUGAUCCGGUGGUUGAUUGUGGGAUUGCCAUCGCUCAACGGAUAAAAGCUACCCCGGGGAUAACAGGCUUAACCAAUAAUAGGCCCCUGUGUUCGUGAGGACAUAGGAUAAAAAACUAGGCUUAUAACGGUGAAACCCUACAUUCUGAAGUUUAAGAGACAUGCGGAUAUGGCCGCACGAGGAUAUAAAUCUUCGACAGAAUCGGGCAAUACCGUGGGAACAUGCGAGUUGGCAUGAUCCUGUAACGACUGUGCCACGCCCGUGCCGAAAGGCACGGCCCCUGUCUGUGGAAUGGGGCCGGAGGGCGUCGCAACGAUCUCCUGCGUACAAGGGUUUCGUUCGGCACGACUUUGGUUUCCUAAUUCACCGAGCCGGUGAAUUAAAUUUAUGACCAAGGUAAGACGCCUAGCCCCCAAAAAUAUUGGGGUGAUGAUAUAGUCUGCACCCAAUGGAAAUUGGGAAAUAUGUGUAUCGGAUCCAAGAGCCCAUAUCGACGAUCCGGUUUGGCACCUCGAUGUCGGCUCAUCGCAUCCUCCCGCUGGAGUCGGUGGGAAGGGUUUGGCUGUUCGCCAAUUAAAGCGGUACGUGAGCUGGGUUCAGUACGUCGUGAGACAGUACGGUCUCUAUCUACCGUAGGCGCAGGACUUUUGAGAGUGAGUCGUCUCUAGUACGAGAGGACCGAGAUGAACGCGCCUCUGGCGUACCGGUUGGCCCACCCGGGCCAUGGCCGGAUAACUACUGCGCGGACGGGAUAAACGCUGAAAGCAUCUAAGCGUGAAGCCCACCUCAAGAUGAGAAGUCCCUGUUCCCUUGUGGAACCUAAAGGCCUCCAAUAGACUAUUGGAUUGAUCGGAGGGGUGUGGAAGUGGGGUAACCCAUGAAGCUAACCCUUACGAAUCGGCCGUGAGACUUAGUCGC